rnacentral:rRNA from 1 species
CGUAGGGGGCAAGCGUUGUCCGGAUUUAUUGGGCGUAAAGCGCGUGUAGGCGGCCAUGUAGGUCUGACGUGAAAUCCCGAGGCUCAACCUCGGCAGGUCGUUGGAAACCAUAUGGCUAGAGUCCGGAAGAGGAGAGUGGAAUUCCUGGUGUAGCGGUGAAAUGCGCAGAUAUCAGGAAGAACACCGAUGGCGAAGGCAGCUCUCUGGGACGGUACUGACGCUGAGACGCGAAAGCGUGGGGAGCGAACAGGAUUAGAUACCCUGGUAGUCCACGCCGUAAACGAUGGGUGCAAGGUGUGGGCGGUGUCGACUCCGUCCGUGCCGAAGCUAACGCAUUAAGCACCCCGCCUGGGGAGUACGGCCGCAAGGCUA